GAUGAACGCUGGCGGCGUGCCUAAUACAUGCAAGUCGAGCGAAUGGAUUAAGAGCUUGCUCUUAUGAAGUUAGCGGCGGACGGGUGAGUAACACGUGGGUAACCUGCCCAUAAGACUGGGAUAACUCCGGGAAACCGGGGCUAAUACCGGAUAACAUUUUGAACCGCAUGGUUCGAAAUUGAAAGGCGGCUUCGGCUGUCACUUAUGGAUGGACCCGCGUCGCAUUAGCUAGUUGGUGAGGUAACGGCACACCAAGGCAACGAUGCGUAGCCGACCUGAGAGGGUGAUCGGCCACACUGGGACUGAGACACGGCCCAGACUCCUACGGGAGGCAGCAGUAGGGAAUCUUCCGCAAUGGACGAAAGUCUGACGGAGCAACGCCGCGUGAGUGAUGAAGGCUUUCGGGUCGUAAAACUCUGUUGUUAGGGAAGAACAAGCGCUAGUUGAAUAAGCUGGCACCUUGACGGUACCUAACCAGAAAGCCACGGCUAACUACGUGCCAGCCGCCGCCGUAA
rnacentral:rRNA from 1 species